rnacentral:rRNA from 1 species
UACGGAGGGUGCAAGCGUUAUCCGGAUUCACUGGGUUUAAAGGGUGCGUAGGUGGGUUGGUAAGUCAGUGGUGAAAUCUCCGGGCUUAACCUGGAAACUGCCAUUGAUACUAUCAAUCUUGAAUACCUUGGAGGUGAGCGGAAUAUGUCAUGUAGCGGUGAAAUGCUUAGAUAUGACAUAGAACACCAAUUGCGAAGGCAGCUCACUACACGGUCAUUGACACUGAGGCACGGAAAGCGUGGGGAUCAAACAGG